CACUCUUUUAUUCCAUUCCAGUGAAACAUCAUCCUGUAUUCAUUUCACACUGCUGCGCUCGCCGGUCAUGGCCGCUGCAAGCGGGUGGAGCGAGGAAGGGAGGAGCCUCCUCCUCGACGGCGCGCGCGACGGGGUGUCCCUCCGGCGAGCCACGUGGAGAGCAGCGGAGGCGUCGCGCCUGCAGCGACUAAUCCGUCGGAUCGGAGAUGUGCGGGUCGGAUCGUUUUCAGGACAGGGGAGCCGUCGUCCUCGCCUGGACCUACCGGCGCGGGACUUCAAAGGUGCCACAGGCCUGGUGGAGCGCGGGAGCAGACAGCAGAGCGUGUCAAGCGCGACAAGCCAACGGCCUAGGCGGGCCCAAACGGGGACUGUCCGACGACGGGCUGGCUGACAGGCCGAAGCCGGCCGAACUGGUGACGAGCGGCGACGGCGAGGCGGCGUUCAGUCCCUUCCCUUGCGCCCGGCCGCCAGGGGAGCACCCUGCCGGGCGGCGGCCUACCGCCGUGACGACCUUGCGCCCAGGCCCCAGGGGGAACAAUGCUCCAAUUGCAGGAAUUCUCCUCGUGGGGCCGGGAGUGCCGUCUGCCCCUCAAGUUUUCAGUCGAGACCACCCUACGGCAGCCGGUACGGUACCCCCAUUACGUGUGCCCCAAUUGCAGUUCGUGCCCAGAAUUUCAUCUAAUCCCUGAAGGUCCCUCUAGGAAUAAAGUAACUCGAGAACUCAAGGUAGUGCUGUUGCUGUUUUUGGUAAUCACUGUGUUGAAGCUGCUGCUACUGUCGUCUUCAAAAUGCAUUUAUUUUAGGCCCAGGACGCCCCAUUUUGUUGUUUAAGACACGAGGUUGAAAUUUCGAAGAAUCAGCCCAGCAAUUUUUUUUGCAUAUCCGAACAAAAGUGUAGAUUUGUAUUAAACAAUAUGCACAACAAUCAAGCAUACUCGUAUGACUAUAUUGGCAAAUAUUUUCUUCUUGAUGAAGAUAACUACCAGCAUUUAUCUCAGAAUUGAUUGAUGGCAAUGCAGUUCUACCUUUCUAGUGUGAUACUCAUAGCCAUAGUUGCGCUGCAUGACGAAACUUCUUCCUCACUUGGAUUUACAUGGAAGUAAGCUGGUUGCAUAGGCUUGGGUAAGCUCACAUCUUUAGAGUUUAGCAUUGUGACAACUCGCUCCAUAUCAGGCCGAUGCUCUGCACUUUCUUGGACACAUAAAAGUGCCACAUGAAUGCACCUUUCUAUCUCAAGAUGUCCAUUGCAUGAAGGAGAAUAAAUCAGCUCACCCAAUUUUUCAUCACUCCAAAGUUGCCAAGCCUGCCAAAGUAGCAUUUUUUUUUAAACAAUUAACAUUGGGGUCUACAUGUAGAAGCAAGUGGGUAUGCAUAGAUAAAAGUUCUGGAUGGUGUUAAGGUUACACUCACAUAUGAGAUGAGAUUAUACAGCUUUCCAUUGUAGUCAUAGAACUGGGCUGUCCUCUUUGAGCUUAUUAUUUCCAAUGUCAAUACGCCGAAGCUAAAAACAUCCGAUUUGAUGGAGCAAACCCCAUGAAAAGCAUAUUCAGGAGGUAUAUACCCACUGAGCAUCACAAGUUAAAUUUGUGUCAGUAAUGCAAAAAAAGAAAAAAAUAUAAAUCACAUGCUAUCCUACAUGUUCUUUUUUUUCUUCCAAAAAGAAGCACCUCUAUGAAUAUUUCAUAUACUCUAAAUGCACAGAUCCAUAUGUUCUUACUGUGUGCCCACUAUUCUUGUGGUAUUUGAUUCUUUCACUUUUGAGCAGACUAUUCUGGCCAUCCCAAAAUCAGAUAUUUUUGGAUUCAUUUCACCGUCCAAGAGAAUGUUAUUUGCUUUCAAAUCCCUAUGGACAACACAUAAUCGUGAAUAAUUGUGAAGGUAAAGAAGCCCUUGAGCUAUUCCAUCAAUUAUGUGCACACGAUUUGAGCAGUUUAGUUGUUCUCCCUUCAAAUUAUCUGCAAAAGGUGUAUAAUUAAUCAAAGCUGUUGACAUGCUAUAAACAGCAUUACACAUGUAGAAGUGACAAGUCUUGCCAAAUAUGAAGCAGUCUAGACUUUUAUUUUCCAUGUAUUCGUAUACAAGCAUCUUUUCUUGUUCUCCUUUAGUGCAGUAACCCAGAAGCUUAACGAGAUUUUUGUGUUGAAGCUUCGAUAUAAGCUGAAUUUCAUUUUGGAAUUCCAAUAAACCUUGUAAAGAACAUGUUUCUAGUCUCUUGACUGCUAUUUUAAUUCCACUGCUCAAUUGGCCCUGAGAUUGAUUGAAACGGAAAAAGAAUGUGUUAUUUUUUCGUAACUCAAUAACUUGGUUUACUGGAAACUUAUAUUCAUUAUAUUUAGCCACAAAAUAAAACUUAUGACCAUUGUAUAAGAUAUCUCCACAAUAAUAUAGAAAUGGCAUUAUAUUUGUAUUAACAAUGCAAUUUUUAAUUCAUUUUAGGGGUCCAUUUGCAAUGUAAGGACAUAAUACCUUGUAUACAGGACCAAAGCCACCUUGCCCCAAUUUAUUAUCAACUGAAAAGUUGUUUGUAGCUUCCUUUAUAUGCGUGUAAUCAUAUUGUGAAAAUCCCAAGUUGCCGCCUUCCAUCCUCCAUAAACUUAUUACACUUUGUAUUGCCAAUAUUUGUCGUAAUUUUAAUAUUGCAUGCUCUGAAAAACAAUUUCAAAAUUUUAUGCUGUCGAUAUUUGUAAGAGAACAAUAACAAAUGGCACAAAUUUUGGUCUGCUGUUAUGUAAAUUCAUACCUUUCUGUUGCUGUGUUUUGAUCCAUACAUGAAAAAGCAGGCAAGAAAUGAAUAUUACCAUUAAGACUACUCCAAAUGCAACCAAGGUAUCAGCUGUGUUGCCUGUGCAUCAAUGCAUAAGACCAAUGAGUUGUAAUUUGAGAAGACGAACUAAAAGUGCACCUCUACGGCACAGGCAAUCAGUGUUUUAGCUAGGGAGAUCAGGUUGGAUUUAAUCUGUAGGUGUUGUUUGACAUGUACCUGGCACCAUUAUAAUUACUGCAGAAGAUCUGGCCAGCUAAUGUUGCUGGGCAAGAGAGGAAGAGGAAGAGGAAGAGGAAAGAUAAUAGUAGUGUUAUGAUUGGUAGCUAGCGUUCCAUGGCCUUUGUUCCAUCUAUAUUGCAGAAUUGCUCGUCAAGAAGUCUGAGGUGAGUAAAUAUCAUAUUUGCUUCAUCUACCAAGAGGCAAAGGAAUUCAAAGGUCAAGCAUUGGUUCCAUUCAAUAGUCUGUGGAAAAUGAUUGCUAAGACUCAUUCUUUGCAUUAGUAAUUGAUAGAUGGUGACAUGCCCAUAUUUUCCACUGAAGAUUGGUCCAGAGGCUGUUUCGUGGGUUGGAAUCUGAGGUGAAGUAGUGGACUUGUCUACAUUCCCGUGUGAGCAGUGUGCCUGUAUACAUUCCAGAUGCUUUCAUAUUUAUUGAUUACGUCUUCAAUGGUUUCUCAUGCUGACAAAUAUGUCCUAGCUUGUGGUAAAAGUAAAGGGGACUGAAAACAACCACGCAUAGAUUUACAAUAUAUUCUGAAAAAUGAUAUCUAUUGCGGGAAAUUGCAAUUCAUGGUCACAACAGAACUUGGCUAUGUGCUAGUGGUAGACAGUUUGGAACCGAAAUAUAAAUAAAUUCAGUCUUACACUGUUUACACGGGAUAGUAAGGAAGAUCUUGUAUGUAAAACCACAAGUCAAAUCAGCCUAACAGGUUAACUGGUGAGAAACAGCGGAACACACUGCCUGGUACAAUUAAUUAACACAAGGAUGGCCAAGACCUGUAAGGCUGUAACUCAUACUUCACUAACAGAGUAAGCAGGUUGCUUUGGUUCUGGCAAAGUGAUGCCAUCGCUGCUAAGAAUUGCAACAACAUCAGCCAUUGUGGGACGAUCUAUUGUUUUUUCUUGAACACACAUCAAUGCCACGGCAAGGUAUUUCAUCAGCUCUUCCGGUUCAUAUUCAUCACCAAAUGAUUGACUGAUGAACUCAUCCCAUCUCCUACCUUUCCACAGUUGCCAGGCCUGAAAAGGAAAAAAAAAGAUAUUUACAUUCCCAGCAGCAUAUGAUGGUACAUCUUUAUGCUGUUAGAUCUAGCUACAAACAUAAGAGAACAAGAGAUAAAGGAAACUGCACUAUACUUUGUGGAAAGAAAGAAAGAAUGUAGAAUAGAGCCACACUAGUAAUGGUACCUGAUACGCUAGUAUAUAUGCAAUUGUUAGAAACAGUAUUUGUUCCACCUUUUUUUUUUGAAAUAAUUACAGUAGGGGAGCCCCCUACUAACCACCAACAUUACAGAUUGUUGGUUUUUAGCUGCUUACAUAUUCAAGGAGGUUGUAGAAUUCUCCAUUGUACUGAAAACCCGAGCUCCUCUUUCCGCUUAAAAUCUCAAGAAGCAGGACCCCGAAACUGAAAACAUCUGACUUGAUUGAGAGAAGGCCACCAGAAGCAUAUUCAGGAGCCAUGUAUCCACUAGAAAAAGGGUGACAUGUGGGAAGUCAGAAAGCAAAUGCUCUGAUAGAAACAUUAGUGAGUAACAGAACUAGUUUAAUGCACUUACAAUGUGCCCACAAGUCUGCUUGCUGUUACUUGAGUGGCAUCUGAUGGAAAUAUCCUUGCCAUUCCAAAAUCAGAAAUCUUAGGGUUUAGUUGAGAAUCUAACAGAAUAUUGCUUGCUUUCAAGUCCCUAUGGAUUAUGCGUAGUCGUGAGUGAUUGUGAAGGUACAGAAGCCCUUGAGCUAUGCCUUCAACUAUUUUAAUUCGUCUCUUCCAUUUGAGUGAUGCUCCCCUGAUCGGAUCUACAAGCAAUGUAACACAAGACCAAGUGUUAGUUCUGCAUAGUAGAACGAAUGCAAUUACGAAAGUUGCAUUUUAGAUUAACCACAUGCCGAAAAUGAAGUGAUCCAAGCUUUUGUUGGGCAGGUAUUCGUAGAUCAGCAUCUUCUCUUCUUCAUGGAUGCAACAGCCAAGCAGCCUAACAAGGUUUCUGUGCUGAAGUUUCGCGAUAACCUGGAUCUCAUUCUUGAACUCUAAUAGACCUUGUCGUGAUCGAGCAGACAGCCUUUUAAUUGCUAGAUCUUGUCCAUCAGGAAAUACUCCCUGCAAAAACUCAUCGCUCCAUGUUUAUAUGGAGCCAUCUAAAUUUCAUGAUAUUGGUGCAUGACCGUAAUAAUAACAAGGAAAUACCUUGUAAACUGGGCCAAAUCCACCCUCUCCUAGUUUAUUUUGGGUUGAGAAGUUGUCUGUAGCAUCAGCAAUCUGAGAGAAAUCAUACAAUGAGAACUCUGAGCUAGUGUCUUCGAGCCUCCAUAGCCUAAGUACUUCAUCAAUGUUCCUGGGCCCCUCCGUCGAGUUCAUUUUUCCUAAAUAUGCAUCUCUCCAUUAAUUUUUACAUGCAGUUGGAGAUUUGGAUUUUUCUUUAUUUUUGUAUAAGGCUGAUAUGCUUACUUCUUUUUUGUUUUCUCCAGACACUUAGGAGCCAGAAAAACAACCGUGUACAGAGGACUGCGGAAGAGUAAACUGCUGCAAUGAUGAAGAAUGCACGGUCUUUCUUUUGUCCUGAAAAUGAAAAUGAUACAUGAAACGAUCAAUAAUGGGGCUUAACAAUGUCUCAAGAAUUUUGGAACACCAAGAUGCGCCUCAGAUUAAUAAGCUGAAUUUUUGGAGUUUGCAGAAAUAGCUCAUCUUGGUAGCAAGCUGACAAUUGGCAACAUUCAGCAGAAACUCACGUAGGGACAGCAUCUUGGUGUUGCCGGUGAGGUUGAAGAACUGCAGGCCCAUCUCGUAUCGCAUGGUGCACCGCGCCCCGAAGACCGCCCCACCCAUCUUGCCACCGCCGAUCUUCCUCCGCCUCUCCG